rnacentral:rRNA from 1 species
GAUGAACGCUGGCGGCGUGCCUAAUACAUGCAAGUCGAGCGAACAGACGAGGAGCUUGCUCCUCUGACGUUAGCGGCGGACGGGUGAGUAACACGUGGAUAACCUACCUAUAAGACUGGGAUAACUUCGGGAAACCGGAGCUAAUACCGGAUAAUAUAUUGAACCGCAUGGUUCAAUAGUGAAAGACGGUUUUGCUGUCACUUAUAGAUGGAUCGGCGCCGCAUUAGCUAGUUGGUAAGGUAACGGCUUACCAAGGCAACGAUGCCUAGCCGACCUGAGAGGGUGAUCGGCCACACUGGAACUGGGACACGGUCCCGACUCCUACGGGAGGCAGCAGUAGGGAAUCUUCCGCAAUGGGCGAAAGCCUGACGGAGCAACGCCGCGUGAGUGAUGAAGGUCUUCGGAUCGUAAAACUCUGUUAUUAGGGAAGAACAAAUGUGUAAGUAACUAUGCACGUCUUGACGGUACCUAAUCAGAAAGCCACGGCUAACUACGUG